rnacentral:misc_RNA from 1 species
GAUGAAGAACGCAGUGAAAUGCGAUAAGUAAUGUGAAUUGCAGAAUUCAGUGAAUCAUCGAAUCUUUGAACGCACAUUGCGCCCCCUGGUAUUCCGGGGGGCAUGCCUGUCCGAGCGUCAUUACAACCCUCAAGCUCAGCUUGGUGUUGGGCCCCGCCGCCCCGGCGGGCCCUAAAGUCAGUGGCGGUGCCGUCCGGCUCCGAGCGUAGUAAUUCUUCUCGCUCUGGAGGUCCGGUCGUGUGCUCGCCAGCAACCCCCAAUUUUUUUCAGGUUGACCUCGGAUCAGGUAGGGAUACCCGCUGAACUUAAGCAUAUCAAUAAACGGAGGA